rnacentral:rRNA from 1 species
GACGAACGCUGGCGGCGUGCUUAACACAUGCAAGUCGAACGGAAAGGCCCUGCUUGCCGGGUACUCGAGUGGCGAACGGGUGAGUAACACGUGGGUGAUCUGCCCUGCACUUCGGGAUAAGCCUGGGAAACUGGGUCUAAUACCGGAUAGGAGCCAUUUUUAUUGUGAUGGUUGGAAAGUUUUUUCGGUGUAGGAUGAGCUCGCGGCCUAUCAGCUUGUUGGUGGGGUAAUGGCCUACCAAGGCGGCGACGGGUAGCCGGCCUGAGAGGGUGGACGGCCACAUUGGGACUGAGAUACGGCCCAGACUCCUACGGGAGGCAGCGGUGGGGAAUAUUGCACAAUGGGCGCAAGCCUGAUGCAGCGACGCCGCGUGGGGGAUGACGGCCUUCGGGUUGUAAACUCCUUUCGCUAGGGACGAAGCUUUUUGCGACGGUACCUAGAUAAGAAGCACCGGCUAACUACGUG